CAUCACCAGCCAUCUCGGGCAUCCUGCUCUCUCGAGCGGUGGGGGGGGGCAGGGACAGCUGGAAAAUCUGGAGUGGAGAUCCACCCGCAGGCUCCGUCAAAGCUUUUCCCAGUACCGUGGGUCCUGGGUCCUCAGAGGACUGGAGGACCGGGGCGGCAGUCGUUUUCAGUCCCAGAAGCUCUGAUGGGGCAGGAUGGAGCUGGAGCCUGGGCCCCUUCCUCUCCAUCCCCAGGGAGGAGGCAGGAAAGGCUCUCUAUUCUCAUGCUAAUUAGGCAAAGCUCACCCAGCCCAGCCAGGGAACCAGGGACCAGGUCUACCGCCACGCCACGCCACCCCUCUCCCUCGCUGUGGUUUCAUCCCACCCGGAUGCUCUCAGACAGGGGCUGGGCAGAGCUGGGGGAUCCAGGGAAGCCCUCCUUUCCCGAGACAAAGGACCUGCUCCCGUAAAGAGACAGCGUGAAGGCGGAGGCAGAGCCAGGCGGGGAGGCCGGGCUCCGGGACACGGCUCCAGCUCUCAGCCCUAAGAGCCGCACCCGUCAACCCGUCAAGCCCGGGAAGAGAUGGCCAGGGUCUGAUGUGCUAUGCCUUCACCAUCUCCCCUGGAAUUAUGGAUGAGGGAGAGACGGAAGUGUGCACUCGACACCACCGACUGACUCCCAUCACAGUCUGAGGCCAUUCUUUCUAACCCGCGAGGCCGGCUGAUGGUCAAGUGAAGGACGAUGUGACAACACAACGUUCUUGGACUGGAAGAUCUCGGAGGGCCCUGAGAGCUCUAAGACUCACCCUCCCCUGGCCGUUCAGUUCACACAGCCCCAAGGAGGAGAUCUGGGCAAGCAUGGGACCAAGGUGAGUCAGUCAGGUCAGGGGGCCAGGAGAAGACCAACACCUGGGAAGAGCCAGCCACCCAACCAAGCUUGCCUUCCCCGCCGCCAGGACCUAGAGGCAGAGAACAGACCUUUCUUAAUACACCUACCCUAGACUACUCCAAGAACAUGACACGCAGAACUCAAAGCUGGCCAGCUAUCACAAUACUUGGGUUGACCAGUGACGAGAUGCCAGUCAAAGGGCUAGUCAGGAAGCCUUGGGUGCCUGUAGAGGGAAGCUCAACCUCCCAAGCCAGCCAGGAACCACGCGAAUGCAAAACAGGUCCUCAGGACAUUUCCCAUCAGGCUCCACCAAAGUUCUCUUAGGCCCAGACCCACGCCCCCCACUCUUCAUAAAGAUGGCGUCCUAUACCCAAAUCUGCCCGUCCCGAGCUUUGCCCAAAGGUUCAUUGCCUCUGAAGAGGUCAUGUGUUCUCCACACCCUGAAUGAAGAGUCCCAGCUCCCCAGCACUUUCCAAGGGCCUCAUUUCCAAGGGCCUUGCUUGGUGCUGGGGAUACCACGAUGAGGGAAAAUAAUGGCACGGUCCCACCCUCAAGGACCCUGUGGGCAAAUUGCAGCAUAGGAACUAUUCUGAAAGAUGUACAGAAGAAAAGCCAAAAUCCAUCUUAUGGCCCACCGAAUACGGUGUCAAGUUUUCCAAGUUCACACAAAGAUCCAGCUGCAGUAGCAAACUGCAGCUGACUUGCCCUGAAUCCCUGUGGAAACGAUCUUCACAGCCUUCUACUUCCCCAGGGUAAGUCGGGGGCAAUGAUAAGUGCCAUGGAUAAAGAUUAGCUGUGACCUCAUAGAGCAAGGUGUCGUCCCCUUCCUGCCUCAGUCCCAUGAGUCACAAGUCUUGCCUCUGGUGCCUGAGUUGCCUCCUGCCUCUUGAAUCACCUUCCUUUAUCUUUCCCUCACCCCCACAGCAAUCUCCCCAUUCUAGCAAAACUCCCCUCCCAGGACCCCUUCUCCUCACAAUCUCUAUCGACAAAAAUCCUCUGGACUGUCCCAGGUCUUUCUCAAAUAAGGGACGUCUCUGACUUAUCUAGCUUCACUUUAUCAUCCAUAAAUCAGAUAAAGCUUCUUGAUAAGUGUGAAUAAUGUCUCCAAACUGGAUUUUUAAUUUAAAAAUGAGGAGGGAAACCAUCAAAGAAAGCAGUGGUUGUAACGAGGCAGGAAAGGUGAAGUUAAGUCAUUCCCAAUGAUUGAGGACAGUACAUCUUCUUCGUCUUUUAAAGUAGGUACACCAUUUGUGUUUAUGCAGACCCUUGAGGACAUGAGUCCAUUCCUUUCCCAAAAAAUGCUUUGCACUGAUUUAAUUCUCCAAAGAUCCAUGACUCAAACAUUACUCACGCCUCUAACUGAAUACCACUCUUUGACCCCACAGACGCACCGGUGAGGCUCAUACAUUAUUUCAUUCAUAAAGUGUUGCCAGGAUACAAUACGAUAAAUGCCAAAAGAAAAAAGAAAAAAAUCUCCCAUUGGCCCAGGAACAAAUACAAUUAAAUCCUACACCCCACUGUGGUCUUGCUCACAGCUUCCCUAGGGUGCCUGUACCCAUCAGCCUGUGUUUUAAAUGCUAAGGGAUUCAGAUGGGAUGAGACAGUGAAAGAGACGUUUGGACCGUACAGCCCUUACCCACGAUAGCCUCAUCUCGCUGUGCCUGCUCUGUCCCAAACCUAUUCCUUCACAUCCACGGUGGGCACAUCCUCUAAAAGUGGUAUGUCCCUGCUUCAGCAACCUCCCUAUUUUCGCCCCCUUCACCCCUCUGCUAAGCACCUUCCAGGGAGGCCGCAAAGGAGCUCUGAGAAGUCAGAGCUUCCUCUAAGAGGGAAGAAGUGUAAUGAUCCAGGUAAUUAGUGGGCCUGAGAAUCAAGCCAAAAGAGGGCAAAUAAGGGCCAAUUCUACCUGAAUCAUCACAUCCUAGAUUCCAAGUCUAGCCCAGCACAAUGGGUUACUCUCAAGACUCCCCAAGGGAAGACCUGGACCCAGGCUGUCCGCACAAUGGACCGUACCUCCAGGGACGAGUCAAGGUCAGAGGAGUCCACACAGAGGUCCACCCUCAAGGGAGUCUGAGGAAUGGUGAAGAAUCCGGAGAUGGAAUCCAGGAAACCGUAGAGAAUUCUAGAAAGUGUGUUCCAAGGAUAUAAAUUCUCUCUUUGGUCAAGAAGCACGAGGAAGCCAGCAGCAUUUAAUGAAGAGACAGGCAGCGGGUCAUCAGUUCCCACCAACCAGCUCUUUCUGGGAAUUUGGAGGGAGACGUUCUCUCUGCUUCGCCCCAAUUUCCCAAAGAUUUCGGUCUCCAGGCUUCUUCCCUCUCCCCCGCUGCCCAGAUCUCUGCUGCUUCCUAAAGCUUCGGUCUACAGUACCUGUUCUGCGUCUCCUUACAGCCCAUCCAUACGGUGCCAGAUUCCUGUCCAGAAUGACCUGCUGGUCCUUCUCUCCACCAUGACCACCUCCAGAAGUCCAAGGAGCUCCAUGCCGUCCCACACACCUGUGUCUGCUUUACCUGCCUGGGACUCCGUGCUCCAUGCGCUACUGGCUUUAAAACUGGGGGCCCCGAUUGGGCCUGUUGAUCGCCCGGCACUGAGUGGCCACAGGGACGGGCUGGCAACCAGGUUCCUUAAUCUUCAGUUACCACAGUGACGUGGUCCCUAAGAGGGCAGAUGUUCUAGACCAGAGGCCAAAGAGUCGGAAGACGGCCCCUUAAAGCAUCAAUGACUCUGGUCACAGGCCCAGGGGCGGGAGAACAUCAGUUAUGCCCACUGUUAGGAGUAAAGGGGCUUUCUUGGUCUCUGGCCUCUACCACAGCUCCUCUCCCUGUCCAGCCAGGAAGCAGCCUUGAGGGGAACAUCAAGCUCACCUUGUAGAGCAGAGCGACUCCACAGCAGCAAGAGAAGAAAGGUGUUCUGCCACCACACAUCAGUUUAUACCAAACGUGUGACCGUGAGCGUUUCAAUCCCAGGGACCAAACCCGCCCUCGCACAGGGACCUCUGUGUGAGAAAUCAGGAGGGUCUGCAGCUCGUCCUUACCCAGCAGCCGGUCACUGCCCACCUGCCACGCAGGACUGGCCCUUCUCAGAGCUGCCCCACACUGAAGACGGGGUGCAGUGUCUUCACUGCAUUUUGACUUCGAGUAACCCAGUCGGUUGCCCUCAGGCUCCUCCCAAAGGAAAUAGUUGGAUUCUCACGGUCCUCCCUCCUGCUGUCUGUCAAGAGUCUAAGAAACAGUAUUAGCAGGAGGCAUACUGAUGAUAAAAGAAUUUUUUUCAAUUAUUUAUCUCAUUUUAUCAUCAGCACUCUCCUAGAUUGUGGAAAGAGUGACGACCGUGAUCUUCCUUUUACAAAAGAAAAACCCUGAUCAAGGACAGGCCGUGGCUGGCCCAAAGCCAUCAGCCGGGAAGUAGCAGGGGCUGGGCUCUGCCACAGGCAGGCAGGUGUCCCCAGAUGGUACCUGCUGAGAGACAGGGCACCCACGACACCGGUCUCGGACCUUCCCCGCAAGUCUCUUCCCUAUCCUUACGACGGAGGGGAGGUGCCCCGGGGACAGGACAACAAGGAGGAUGGGUGGGGGAAGGGCAGCACCCUAGAUGGAGGGCAGCACCUAGUGAGGGUGAGCGAGCCCCCCAGCCCGUGGUCUCCCCCCAGUGGCUCAUUCUCUCUCCAAAAGUCACCAAAGGUCAAAGCAGAGGAAACCAACGUCUAGGUAAAUGAGAUGCUUUGCCCAAGGACAGCCAGCUGGUCUUCCACAGCGCUGCACCCAGCCCCAGGCUUGCUGACCUCUACUUCAGGGCUCUCCUUUUGCCACCAUGGGGUCACCCCAACAGGGGUUUCUAUACAGAGUGUGGGGAAGGGGACGGUAUGUUUAGCCUUCAGUCGUCCCCAGAAACGGGACAAUCAAAAGCAUCAAGGAGCCUCGUCCUGGAAUCACUGAGUGCUAAAAAUGGAAAAAGACUUUUAAAUAAUUAAGUUUCAUUUUUGACCUUAUGCAUUAGCUGCAUUUUUACCACGCGAUCUUAUUACUUUUAUAAAUUAAAAAAAAAAACUGGUUUGGAGAUUAAAUUGAUAAUGCUAA